rnacentral:rRNA from 1 species
CAGCCGCCGCGGUAAUACGAAGGGGGCUAGCGUUGUCCGGAAUUACUGGGCGUAAAGCGCACGUAGGCGGAUAUUUAAGUCAGGGGUGAAAUCCCGCAGCUCAACUGCGGAACUGCCUUUGAUACUGGGUAUCUUGAGUAUGGAAGAGGUUAGUGGAAUUGCGAGUGUAGAGGUGAAAUUCGUAGAUAUUCGCAGGAACACCAGUGGCGAAGGCGGCUAACUGGUCCAUAACUGACGCUGAGGUGCGAAAGCGUGGGGAGCAAACAGGAUUAGAUACCCCAGUAGUCCCUGUCUCUUAUAU